UACGUAGGGACCAAGCGUUGUUCGGAUUUACUGGGCGUAAAGGGCGCGUAGGCGGCAAUUCAAGUCAUCUGUGAAAUCUCCGGGCUUAACUCGGAACGGUCAGAUGAUACUGCUUUGCUCGAGUGCGGAAGGGGCAAUCGGAAUUCUUGGUGUAGCGGUGAAAUGCGUAGAUAUCAGGAGGAACACCGACGGCGAAGGCAGCACUCUGGGCCGGUACUGACGCUGAGGAGCGAAAGCAUGGGGAGCGAACAGG
rnacentral:rRNA from 1 species